rnacentral:rRNA from 1 species
GUGUUGUUUGUUAAGGGCACACGGUGGAUGCCUUGGCAUUAUGAGCCGAUGAAGGACGUGUAAGGCCGCGAUAGGCCUCGGGGAGUUGCCAAUAGAGCGUUGAUCCGAGGGUGUCCGAAUGGGGAAACCUGGCCAUGGUUAUGUGUGGUUACCCAUCAGUGAAUUCAUAGCUGGUGUGGGGGUGACGCGGGGAAGUGAAACAUCUCAGUACCCGUAGGAGAAGAAAAUAAUUAAUGAUUCUGCUAGUAGUGGCGAACGAACGUGGAUGAGGCUAAACCGUAUGCGUGUGAUACCUGGCAGGGGUUGCGUGUGUGGUGUUGUGGGGCGUUGUUGGAGGAGGCUGCCGGCUCCUCGCUUGU